AGUUUGAUCCUGGCCCAGGAUGAAUGCUAGCUACAGGCUUAACACAUGCAAGUCGAGGGGAAACGAUAUUGGAAGCUUGCUUCCGAUAGGCGUCGACCGGCGCACGGGUGAGUAACGCGUAUCCAACCUGCCCACCACUUGGGGAUAACCUUGCGAAAGUAAGACUAAUACCCAAUGAUAUCUCUAGAAAACAUCUGAAAGGGAUUAAAGAUUUAUCGGUGAUGGAUGGGGAUGCGUCUGAUUAGCUUGUUGGCGGGGUAACGGCCCACCAAGGCGACGAUCAGUAGGGGUUCUGAGAGGAAGGUCCCCCACAUUGGAACUGAGACACGGUCCAAACUCCUACGGGAGGCAGCAGUGAGGAAUAUUGGUCAAUGGGCGAGAGCCUGAACCAGCCAAGUAGCGUGCAGGAUGACGGCCCUAUGGGUUGUAAACUGCUUUUAUAAGGGAAUAAAGUGAGUCUCGUGAGACUUUUUGCAUGUACCUUAUGAAUAAGGACCGGCUAAUUCCGUGCCAGCAGCCGCGGUAAUACGGAAGGUCCGGGCGUUAUCCGGAUUUAUUGGGUUUAAAGGGAGCGUAGGCCGGAGAUUAAGCGUGUUGUGAAAUGUAGAUGCUCAACGUCUGCACUGCAGCGCGAACUGGUUUCCUUGAGUACGCACAAAGUGGGCGGAAUUCGUGGUGUAGCGGUGAAAUGCUUAGAUAUCACGAAGAACUCCGAUUGCGAAGGCAGCUCACUGGAGCGCAACUGACGCUGAAGCUCGAAAGUGCGGGUAUCGAACAGGAUUAGAUACCCUGGUAGUCCGCACGGUAAACGAUGGAUGCCCGCUGUUGGUCUGAAUAGGUCAGCGGCCAAGCGAAAGCAUUAAGCAUCCCACUUGGGGAGUACGCCGGCAACGGUGAAACUCAAAGGAAUUGACGG
rnacentral:rRNA from 1 species